rnacentral:lncRNA from 1 species
UUUUUUUUUUCUUCACUCUUCUUUCAGCACUUGACCCAAGUCUGGUCAGCAGUAAUCUAUGACUCUCCAUCAACCUGACUAACACUGUGAACCCUGCCUUGGCAUUCCCCUGAAUACCUACCUGCCAAACCCACCUGCCAGGCUAGAUCCUCCAAACUGGCAACCACGGUGCCACACCCAGCAGGCACCUCUGCUGGCACAAGGGCCUCUCCAAAACAGUUCCCACACAUCCCCUCUUGGAACCCCUCCAAAACCAUUUCUGCUCUAAUAUGGCAGCCCCACACAGCAGCAUUCUUGCAACAGUCAUAUGUGGACCUCAUGGCCAUCUGAACUGGAGGCCAGCCCUUCCUAUCAGUGUGCUCUCUACAGUCAUGGCUAGACCUCUCUAUCAGCUAGACUGGGGGCCAACCACCCACAUGCCCACAGCAGGGCAGCUGGAGGCCUCAUAGACAACCAAGCCAAAGGCCAGUCUCUUCCCCAGCAUGCUCCCAGAAAUUGCAGCCCAACCACAGCAGAAGAUUGCACAGAGCCCACACAGGGAUUACUCAUGGAAAACCUAGCUCUAGUAACUAGAGGAAUUGUAUCCCUGGGCCCUGCAGAACACUUUCUACAUAAGACAACUCUUUCAGUACUGGAAGAUAUAGAUCUUAUAUGUAAUGCGAGGAAACAAAUACAGAGCCAGGCCAAAGAAGAGACAAAAGAAUACCUUCCAAACAAUAAUGACAAAAAGACAAAAACUCAGAAAAAGAACUAAGUGAAAGGGAGAUAAGCAAUUUACCAGAAAAAAAGGAUUAAAGUAAUAAACAUGAUUACCAGACUUAGGAGAAGAAUGUAUGAAGUCAAUGAGAACAUCAACAAAUAUACAAAAAAUAUAAAAACCAACCAGAACUGAAGAAUACAAAAACUGAAGUAAAAAAUACACUAGAGGGAAUCAACAGAGAGUAGAGGAUGCAGAAGAAUAAAUCGAUGAUCUGGAAGACAGGGUAGUUGAAAUCAUCCAAUUGGAAUAGCAUAAAUAAAAAAAUUAAUAAGGAUAGUUUAAGGACAUCUGGGACAAAAUCAAGCUUACUAACAUUUGCGUUAUGAGGGUCUCAAAAGGAGAAGAGAGAUUAAAAAAAAAAAAAAAGACAGAAAACCCACUUGAAGAUACAAUGGCUUAAAUUUCCUGACCUGGCAAAGGAAAUAGAUAUCCAAAUCCAGGAAGCAGUCUGUCCCAAAAAUAUGAACACAAAGAGACCCACACCAAGACAAUUUAUAAUUAAUAUGUCAAAAUUAUAGAUAGAAAUAAACUUNAAAAAAAAAAAAAAAAAAAAAAGCUAUAUGUACAAGGAAACUCCCAUGAAACUAUAAGCUGAUUUUUCAAGAAAAACUUUAUAGGCAAAAAUGGAAUGACAUGAUAUAGUCAAAGUGCUGAAGGAAAAAAACUUCCAAUCAAAAACACUCUAUCUUGCAAGAUUAUCAUUAGAAUGGAAGGAGAGUUAAAGAGUUUUUCAUCAUGGAGUUCCUGUUGUGGCUCAGGGAUAAUCCAAUGAGGAAUCCAAUGAUUCCUGGCUUCAGUCAGUGGGUUAAGGAUCCAGCAUUGCCAUGAGCUGUGGUGUAGGUCACAGACACAGCUCAGAUCCUGCAUUACUGUGGCUGUGGUAUAGCCUGGCAGCUGCAACUCAGAUUUAAUCCCUAACUCCCAUGUGCUGCAAGUACAGCCAUAAAAAGCAAAACAAAACAAAACAAAGUUUCCCAUCACUAAAUGAGCCCUGUUUAAAUGGAAAAGAAAUAGACAAAAAUAGAAAAAAAAAUUAUGAAAGGAAAAUAUAUCACCAGUAAAUAUAUAGUAAAAAUUGGGGAUCAACUACUUAUAAAACUAGGAGAAAGUAUAAAGACAAAAAUAGUAAAAUCAUCUAUAUCUAACAUAAAAACUUAAGCAAGAUGCAAAAAUAGAAAGAUGUAAAACAUAACAUAAAAAUAUAAAAAGGGCAGGGGGUAAAUGUAGUGCUUUCAUAACACACUCAAACUUAACCAUCAACUUAAAAUAGACUCUUGUACAAAUUGUUAUAUAUGAACUCCAUGGUAACCAAAAACCUAUAACAAAUGCACAAAAAAUAAAGAGAAAGGAAUACAAAUAUAAUACUAAAGUAAUUCAAAUCACAAGAAAAGACUACAAGAGAAGAAAGGAAAAGAGAAGAACCAUAAAAACAGCCAGAAAACAAUUAACAAAAUGGCAGAAAAUGCAUAUUUUUAAUAAUUACUUUAAAUGUAAAUCGACUAAUUGCUCCAACCAAAAGAUCUAGAAUAAAAGAUUGGAUUAAAAAAAAAAAUACACCCAGAGUUCUCAUUGUGGUGCAGCAGGAUCAGUGGCAUCUCUGCAGCACCAGGAUGCGAGUUUGAUACCUGGCACAGCACAGUGUUUCAAAGGAGUUGACAUCGCUACAGCUGCAGUUCAUAUCUUACCCAUGGCCCAGGAAUGGAAAUCCAUAUGCCAUGGAUGGCCAAAGAAGAAAAAAAAAUCUACAACCAUACACCAAAAUAUAUGCUACUUAGAAGAGAUACUUCAGAUCUAAAGACAAAUGGACUGAAAUAUAUCUUGGAGGUAUUCCAUUUAGAUGGAAAAUUGGGACAGAUACAUGCAAAGUAAUAAAACUAGACCACUACCUUAUACACACAAAAAAUCAAGAUGGAUUGAAGACUUGAGUGUAAGAUUCAAAAACCAAAAAAACUCCUAGAUGAAAAUAUAGGCAAUAUCCUUUUUGACAUCAAUCUUAGCAAUCUUUUGUUUGUUUUGUUUUUGGCCAUCACUCUUCAAGCAAGGGAAUCAAAACAAAAUUAAUAAAUGGUAUUACAUCAAAUCAAAAAGUUUUUGCACAGAGAACAAAUUUAUUAACAAAGGCAAACUACUGAAUGUUCUAAGACAUUUGCAAAUCAUAUAUUCAAUAAGAUUAAUAUGCAACAAAAUAAAGAAUUUUACAACUUAAUAGCAAAAAUAAACAGCAUAAUUAUUAAAUGGGCAAAGGACCUGGAUAGUUAUAUUUUUUAAAAAAUAUACACAGAGGGUUAAUAGGCACAUGAAAAUAUGUUCAGCAUCACUAAUGACCAGUGAAAUGCAAAUCAAAACCACAAUGAGAUAUAACUUGUCAGAUGGAUAAUACCAAAAGAAAAACAAUAACGUGUGUUGAUGGCGGUGUGGAGAAAAGGGGAUUCUCAUGCCCUCUUUUGGAAAUGUCAUUGGUGAAGCCACUAGGGAGAACAGAUCUAAUGUCCCUCAAAAAAUUAAAAAUAGAACUAUGAUAUGAUACAGCAAAUCUACUUCUGGGAAUUUUUCUGAAGAAAACAAACACUAACUCAAAAAUGCUUAUACAUAUCUAUGUUCAUUG